rnacentral:rRNA from 1 species
GACGAACGCUGGCGGCGUGCCUAAUACAUGUAAGUAGAACGCUGAAGAGAGGAGCUUGCUCUUCUUGGAUGAGUUGCGAGCGGGUGAGUAACGCGUAGGUAACCUGCCUUGUAGCGGGGGAUAACUAUUGGAAACGAUAGCUAAUACCGCAUAACAAUGGAUGACACAUGUCAUUUAUUUGAAAGGGGCAAUUGCUCCACUACAAGAUGGACCUGCGUUGUAUUAGCUAGUAGGUGAGGUAAUGGCUCACCUAGGCGACGAUACAUAGCCGACCUGAGAGGGUGAUCGGCCACACUGGGACUGAGACACGGCCCAGACUCCUACGGGAGGCAGCAGUAGGGAAUCCUCGGCAAUGGGGGCAACCCUGACCGAGCAACGCCGCGUGAGUGAAGAAGGUUUUCGGAUCGUAAAGCUCUGUUGUAAGUCAAGAACGGGUGUGAGAGUGGAAAGUUCACACUGUGACGGUAGCUUACCAGAAAGGGACGGCUAACUACGUG